UUCUGCCUACGGGACGCAGCAGCCGCGGUAAUACGGAGGAUGCGAGCGUUAUCCGGAUUUAUUGGGUUUAAAGGGUGCGCAGGCGGAAUGUCAAGUCAGCGGUAAAAUUUCGGGGCUCAACCCCGUCGUGCCGUUGAAACUGGCGUUCUUGAGUGAGCGAGAAGUAUGCGGAAUGCGUGGUGUAGCGGUGAAAUGCAUAGAUAUCACGCAGAACUCCGAUUGCGAAGGCAGCAUACCGGCGCUCAACUGACGCUCAUGCACGAAAGCGUGGGUAUCGAACAGGAUUAGAUACCCCAGUAGUCCGC
rnacentral:rRNA from 1 species